AAGAUUCUAGUUAAAGUUAUAACACUGCCUUGUCAAGGCAAAGUUGUAGGUUAAACCCCUACGUAUCUUG
rnacentral:tRNA from 1 species